rnacentral:rRNA from 1 species
UACGUAGGGGGCAAGCGUUGUCCGGAAUCAUUGGGCGUAAAGAGCGUGUAGGCGGCCCGAUAAGUCCGCCGUGAAAGUCCAGGGCUCAACCCUGGAAUGCCGGUGGAAACUGUCGGGCUCGAGUCCGGAAGAGGCGAGUGGAAUUCCUGGUGUAGCGGUGAAAUGCGCAGAUAUCAGGAAGAACACCCGUGGCGAAGGCGGCUCUCUGGGACGGUACUGACGCUGAGACGCGAAAGCGUGGGGAGCAAACAGG